UGUUUAAAUUACAUUGGCAUAUUUAAAAAACGUUUUAGUUUUUUUCCGAACAUACUUACUAAUGGAAAAAGAUAGAUUUAACACGGCAGAGUGAGAAACUAAAUAUACGGAUAGAAGGUAUUCGCAAAGCGAGAGGUAGUGUGCCUGAAGGCGACUGCGGCAUUUAGCAGGACUGUUUUGUAGCAUCUGACGAUCUUUAGUGCUAAUCCUCGUUGCAAUUUAAUUUAUUUAUAGAGUAGACCUUUUCUGGGUACUAGGGCCCCGGCAGCUGCCGCAUACGCUACAAUAAGUUCUACUAAGCCCAUCCCGGGAUACCUAUGCAAGUCUUGAGGCCCAGAGAAGCAUUACCGAUGAAUAAAAAACGUACACUACAUAUUAAUCCUGCAUCAAACUAGUUCUUCAAUCUGAACUAAAGACAACGAUACAAAAACGUCUCUUAAUUAUUAGUGAGUUUUUUGAACAAAACAAAUCAUGAGUUCGCAAAUUUGAAGGUUGCUUAGAUAUAUAUAAGACGAGUUCUAUUUUAGUUGAUGUUAUACUUGAAGUGUCCAUUUGUCUAGCGAGUCUUGUCUGAAUUUGAGAUU